GCUCAUGGCUCAGGACGAACGCUGGCGGCGUGCCUAAUACAUGCAAGUAGAACGCUGAAGGAGAAGCUUGCUUCUCUGGAUGAGUUGCGAACGGGUGAGUAACGCGUAGGUAACCUGCCUGGUAGCGGGGGAUAACUAUUGGAAACGAUAGCUAAUACCGCAUAAUAGUAGAUGUUGCAUGACAUUUGCUUAAAAGGUGCAAUUGCAUCACUACCAGAUGG
rnacentral:rRNA from 1 species